UACGUAGGUGGCAAGCGGUUGUCCGGAUUUACUGGGCGUAAAGGGCGUGCAGGCGGUUUGUUAAGUGCAGGGUGAAAGCUCCCGGCUCAACUGGGAGAGGUCCUUGCAUACUGGCAAACUCGAGGGAGGCAGAGGAAAGUGGAAUUCCCGGUGUAGUGGUGAUAUGCGUAGAUAUCGGGAGGAACACCUGUAGCGAAGGCGGCUUUCUGGGCCUUACCUGACGCUGAGACGCGAAAGCGUGGGGAGCGAACCGG
rnacentral:rRNA from 1 species